CAAUAAUACAAUGGUACAAAGUGCAUUACAAGUGUUUAAUGACAAGAUGCAUGCAGUACACUCCAUGGUUAUUCAAAAGAAAUGAAUCCAUUUCAUAAUUCAUAGCUCAAUGAGUGAUUUGUUUACAUACCUCUUACUACAUUGCACACCUUGUAGGAGGCAAAAGCUAGCUUCUUCCCUCCUCUGCCAAGCCAGUUGAAUUUCAGCGCGAAGUGGUUGGUGAGGAUGUGGCGAAGGAUUCUUCCGAACCGCGUCACCAGGAUUGCAGCCCCCAAGCGCACUAAGGUGUGCUGCCUGCAGGGCCUGGAGGAGGAGGUUGUUCUGCCUCACCAAGGCCUUCAACUCCUCCACAGCACGCAGGAGUGCAUGAUCCCGUUCUACAGGACAGAAAAACAUCAUGACUGUCAUGUCAAGAGGUGCUCCUGGUUUGGGCUUUUUUCAGGUUCAUACGCGCUGCAUCAUAAUUGGCUGUUGAAGACAACAAUGAAGU
ensembl:lncRNA